GGGUUGUGAGGUUAAGCGACUAAGCGUACACGGUGGAUGCCCUGGCAGUCAGAGGCGAUGAAGGACGUGCUAAUCUGCGAAAAGCGACGGCGAGGUGAUAUGAACCUUUGACCCGUCGAUGUCCGAAUGGGGAAACCCAGUGCAAUUCGUUGCACUAUCGUUAACUGAAUACAUAGGUUAACGAGGCGAACCGGGGGAACUGAAACAUCUAAGUACCCCGAGGAAAAGAAAUCAACCGAGAUUCCCCCAGUAGCGGCGAGCGAACGGGGAGCAGCCCGGAGUCUGAAUCAGCUUGUGUGUUAGUGGAAGCGUCUGGAAAGUCGCACGGUACAGGGUGACAGUCCCGUACACGAAAAUGCACAGGUUGUGAACUCGAAGAGUAGGGCGGGACACGUGGUAUCCUGUCUGAAUAUGGGGGGACCAUCCUCCAAGGCUAAAUACUCCUGACUGACCGAUAGUGAACCAGUACCGUGAGGGAAAGGCGAAAAGAACCCCGGCGAGGGGAGUGAAAAAGAACCUGAAACCGUGUACGUACAAGCAGUGGGAGCACCUUCGGGUGUGACUGCGUACCUUUUGUAUAAUGGGUCAGCGACUUAUAUUCUGUAGCAAGGUUAACCGUAUAGGGGAGCCGCAGGGAAACCGAGUCUUAACUGGGCGUUAAGUUGCAGGGUAUAGACCCGAAACCCGGUGAUCUAGCCAUGGGCAGGUUGAAGGUUGGGUAACACUAACUGGAGGACCGAACCGACUAAUGUUGAAAAAUUAGCGGAUGACCUGUGGCUGGGGGUGAAAGGCCAAUCAAACCGGGAGAUAGCUGGUUCUCCCCGAAAGCUAUUUAGGUAGCGCCUCGUGAACUCAUCUUCGGGGGUAGAGCACUGUUUCGGCUAGGGGGCCAUCCCGGCUUACCAACCCGAUGCAAACUACGAAUACCGAAGAAUGUUAUCACGGGAGACACACGGCGGGUGCUAACGUCCGUCGUGAAGAGGGAAACAACCCAGACCGCCAGCUAAGGUCCCAAAGUCAUGGUUAAGUGGGAAACGAUGUGGGAAGGCACAGACAGCCAGGAUGUUGGCUUAGAAGCAGCCAUCAUUUAAAGAAAGCGUAAUAGCUCACUGGUCGAGUCGGCCUGCGCGGAAGAUGUAACGGGGCUAAACCAUGCACCGAAGCUGCGGCAGCGACGCUUAUGCGUUGUUGGGUAGGGGAGCGUUCUGUAAGCCGUCGAAGGUGUGCUGUGAGGCAUGCUGGAGGUAUCAGAAGUGCGAAUGCUGACAUAAGUAACGAUAAAGCGGGUGAAAAGCCCGCUCGCCGGAAGACCAAGGGUUCCUGUCCAACGUUAAUCGGGGCAGGGUGAGUCGACCCCUAAGGCGAGGCCGAAAGGCGUAGUCGAUGGGAAACAGGUUAAUAUUCCUGUACUUGGUGUUACUGCGAAGGGGGGACGGAGAAGGCUAUGUCAGCCGGGCGACGGUUGUCCCGGUUUAAGCGUGUAGGUGUGUGUUCCAGGCAAAUCCGGUUCACUUUAACACUGAGGCGUGAUGACGAGGCACUACGGUGCUGAAGUGAUAAAUGCCCUGCUUCCAGGAAAAGCCUCUAAGCAUCAGGUAACACGAAAUCGUACCCCAAACCGACACAGGUGGUCAGGUAGAGAAUACCAAGGCGCUUGAGAGAACUCGGGUGAAGGAACUAGGCAAAAUGGUGCCGUAACUUCGGGAGAAGGCACGCUGAUAUGUAGGUGAAGCCCCUGCGGGUGGAGCUGAAAUCAGUCGAAGAUACCAGCUGGCUGCAACUGUUUAUUAAAAACACAGCACUGUGCAAACACGAAAGUGGACGUAUACGGUGUGACGCCUGCCCGGUGCCGGAAGGUUAAUUGAUGGGGUUAGCGGCAACGCGAAGCUCUUGAUCGAAGCCCCGGUAAACGGCGGCCGUAACUAUAACGGUCCUAAGGUAGCGAAAUUCCUUGUCGGGUAAGUUCCGACCUGCACGAAUGGCGUAAUGAUGGCCAGGCUGUCUCCACCCGAGACUCAGUGAAAUUGAACUCGCUGUGAAGAUGCAGUGUACCCGCGGCAAGACGGAAAGACCCCGUGAACCUUUACUAUAGCUUGACACUGAACACUGGUCCUUGAUGUGUAGGAUAGGUGGGAGGCUUUGAAGCGUGGACGCCAGUCUGCGUGGAGCCGUCCUUGAAAUACCACCCUUUAAUGGCUGGUGUUCUAACGUAGACCCGUGAUCCGGGUUGCGGACAGUGUCUGGUGGGUAGUUUGACUGGGGCGGUCUCCUCCCAAAGAGUAACGGAGGAGCACGAAGGUUAGCUAAUCCUGGUCGGACAUCAGGAGGUUAGUGCAAUGGCAUAAGCUAGCUUGACUGCGAGAGUGACGGCUCGAGCAGGUGCGAAAGCAGGUCAUAGUGAUCCGGUGGUUCUGAAUGGAAGGGCCAUCGCUCAACGGAUAAAAGGUACUCCGGGGAUAACAGGCUGAUACCGCCCAAGAGUUCAUAUCGACGGCGGUGUUUGGCACCUCGAUGUCGGCUCAUCACAUCCUGGGGCUGAAGUAGGUCCCAAGGGUAUGGCUGUUCGCCAUUUAAAGUGGUACGCGAGCUGGGUUUAGAACGUCGUGAGACAGUUCGGUCCCUAUCUGCCGUGGGCGCUGGAGAAUUGAGGGGGGCUGCUCCUAGUACGAGAGGACCGGAGUGGACGCAUCACUGGUGUUCGGGUUGUCAUGCCAAUGGCACUGCCCGGUAGCUAAAUGCGGAAGAGAUAAGUGCUGAAAGCAUCUAAGCACGAAACUUGCCCCGAGAUGAGUUCUCCCUGAGACUUUAAGUCUCCUGAAGGAACGUUGAAGACGACGACGUUGAUAGGCCGGGUGUGUAAGCGCAGCGAUGCGUUGAGCUAACCGGUACUAAUGAACCGUGAGGCUUAACCUUACAACGCCGAAGCUGUU
rnacentral:rRNA from 1 species